UAUUAUUGUUGAGGCCCAGCCCAGGAGUUGCACCGACGCAAUCAACAAAAACCCUAAACCAGUCGUCCACAGAAACCCUAAUUCAUCAGUCGACAGCCUAUAAACUUACCAUUCCACAUCGUCGUGUCCUCCAUUCUUGGUUUUCAUCACUUCAGUUUAAGUUUUUAUCAGAAACCUUUGAUUUUGUGUUUGUCUGCAUCUUUCCUUUGUGUAUACAUGCCUUGUCUGAGCAGUGUUGAUUUUUGGCAGCACAUUAUGUGAGAUCAUGGUACUUGUCUUUUAACUUUGCUCCAUUCUGUUCGUUGAUUUUCUUUUUGCAUUAGCCUCUUGAAUUUUGGUACCUUCUUAAGAUAAAUUCUGGUGAGUUUCUUGAUUAUUAUUAAGACUAUACUUGAUGAAGUUUAGUGAAUCACUCUAGUAUCUUUAAUAUGGUCAUAACUUCCUUGUACUAUCUCUUUGGAAUCUUAAUAGUUUUAUAUAAACUUAUAAUUAGUGUUGACAUUAUUUGGUUGGGGAGCAAGAGCAUUAAUCCAUGUACACUUGUGAUUAUGCAAUCUUUUUGGAAAAAGGAUCUUAACAGUGUUCUAUCAUCAUAUGGUGUUUUCAAAUGAUCCUCACUUCAUCCUAAAGAUGCUGCUCGUUGGCAAACCCACUAUAGAAAGAAGAGGAAAAUUUGAAGACAUUCAUUCACCUCAAAGCCUACCUUCUGCUUAUUUAGAUUGAAUGAAAUCACAGAUUUUCAAUCUUCUUUUUGUUUGGACACUUUUAAUUUGAGGACAUUCUCUUUCUUUGGAGCUCCUUUCUGUUUAGAAUUGCUAAUUGUAAUCUCUCAUGGCUAUUUCAGCCUUCUUGUACUUGCAAGAUUUAACCCAUGUUUGAAAUUUCUUCCUCAAACUUUUUACCAA